rnacentral:rRNA from 1 species
AUGAAUGCUCAACGUUUCAAGACUCUCGUGUGGAACAUGCGUGGCCUUAACACACCGGCACGUAGAAAUGUCAUGACGCAGGUGGUGAACGCGGCGAACCCAAGUGUGGUUUGUCUUCAGGAAACCAAGAUGGAGGUCGUAACAAUAGAUGUAGUGAAGCAUUGUCUGGGUAAUAAAUUCGAAAUGUUCUACUAUCUUCCGGCCACGGGGACGCGUGGAGGCAUCCUCCUAGCGUGGGACGCCUCGGUGGUGGCACUUUCACUAGUAGAAAAAGGACCUAAUAUGAGACACAUUAGUGCCGGUUUGAUUUUGAGCCGACACUAA